UACGGAGGGUGCGAGCGUUGUCCGGAAUCACUGGGCGUAAAGGGCGCGUAGGCGGCCGCGUAAGUCACUUGUGAAAUCCCGGGGCUCAACUCCGGGGCUGCAGGUGAGACUGCGUGGCUAGAGCACGGUAGAGGCGAGUGGAAUUCCCGGUGUAGCGGUGGAAUGCGUAGAUAUCGGGAAGAACACCGGUGGCGAAGGCGGCUCGCUGGGCCGUUGCUGACGCUGAGGCGCGAAAGCGUGGGGAGCAAACGGG
rnacentral:rRNA from 1 species